CUCCAUGUAUGAAUCCGUUGGGUGAGAGGCUGGUGCUGGGGGUUGACCGCAGGGCCUCGAGCAUGCCAGGCAGGUGCUGGACCCCUGGGCCACACGUCUACCCCUGAUGAACCCAGAUGCUGAACUGGGGUUUCAGCCUCCAGUGCUCUGGCUCCAAGGCAGGACAGCAGAGAGCUGCUCAUCACAAAAACCAGGAAGCAGCAGGGCAAAGGGAGGAGCCAGGAUGGAAGCCACGCCCUUCUGGCCACGCCCCCAGUGACCAAUCCCACAUCUCCUAACAGCAAGUGCUGCAUAGAUGGUGUUUCCACGCAAACGUGUAUGCAUUAAACGGAAUCCUGUCAUGCUACACAACCAUGAACACCUGCCCUGGCUUCUCCGUGCACACUCCUGUCCCUGGCUUUCGGAGAGAUUCUUCGUCCUGGAGUAACGGAGCCAAAGGGCAGGGCUGGGUGAGGCUCCUCCUCCCUCUCCCAGAUUCCCUCUCUGGAAGGGUGCAACGGGGCCCACGCCUGCAGCAGUGUGGAAGAGGAGCCUGGGUCACGAGGGACCUGUUGCCCCCCCCAGCCCCCUGCCUCACCCAUGCCUGUCUUCAGGCUUCCUGAGACACCACGCCCUGCGGCAGGGUGAUACACAUUGCUAGGGCAGCUGAGCAUGGCUCCAUACCCCACAGGGGGCCCCAGGGCUGCUGCACGGGCUUCGGGUUCCCUUUUUGCCGCGGGACCAAGG
rnacentral:lncRNA from 1 species